rnacentral:lncRNA from 1 species
CUUCAUCGGCGGAGGAGUCCAAACUUCACAAUCAACAACUUAGUCAAGAAGUCAGGACUUUGGAGCGUAAAUGCUCAGCCCUGCUCGAGGAGGCCAAACAUGUUGAGGACAGGAUCCAGCUGGAGUGCGAGAGGCGUUUGAUGGAGUAUAAGGAAUCAUCUGAGCUAAAGGAGAAGAUUGAACAAGCAUGUGAAACUCAUCUUUGAACUUACAAGGAUUCUCCCGAACUGAAAGCAAUUAUAGCUGAG